rnacentral:lncRNA from 1 species
AGUAGAGAGUGCUCUACUCUAUUAAGCUCAAAUCUCACUUAUGUGUGGUUUUUACUCACUUAUUGCCUUUCUUCGUCAUCCCAAUUUUCAUCUAAUAAAGAUUCAUCCAUAAAAUCACAAUUCUUCAAUUCCAAAAGUAUCAAGUCAUCUACUUCAUCACAAAGUGCAACUUGGCAGCAUGCAUACACAAAACUAACAAACCAACACUCACUUGACUAACAUGCAAGACAACACAACGACUCAACAUAGACACACAAAAACAAAGACACAUCCCCCUCCUCACACUUAGACGUUGCUUGCCCUCAAGCAAACAAGAAAAAACAUAAAAAA